rnacentral:rRNA from 1 species
AGCGAACGCUGGCGGCAGGCCUAACACAUGCAAGUCGAACGACCCUUUCGGGGUUAGUGGCGGUUGGGUGAGUAGCAUGUCGGACCGUGCCUUUAGAUUCGGGAUACUUCAGGGUCACGUGUGCUAAUACCGGAUGUGUUCUUCGGGGGACAGAUUUAUCGCCCUUAGUGCGGCCCGCGUCCGUCGAGCCAGUUGGUUGUGGUUAUGGCGCACGAGGGCGACGAACAGUAGCUGGUAUGAGAGGAAGAUGAGCAACAUUUGGAGUGGGACACGGCCCGAAAUCCUACGGGAUGCAGGAGUGGGUAAUCUUGCGCAAUGGGCGGAAGCCUGACGCAGCCAGGCCGCGUGAAUGAUGAAGGUCUUAAGAUUGUAAAAUUCUUUCAUCGGGGACGAUAAUGACGGUACCCGGAGAAGAAGCCCCGGCUAACUUCGUG